CACCGGCAGCUCUAGUGGUAGCUGUUUUUAUUGGGCCUAAAGCGUUCGUAGCCGGUUUAAUAAGUCUCUGGUGAAAUCUUACAGCUUAACUGUGGGAAUUGCUGGAGAUACUAUUAGGCUUGAGAUCGGGAGAGGUUAGAGGUACUCCUGGGGUAGGGGUGAAAUCCUGUAAUCCUAGGAGGACCACCUGUGGCGAAGGCGUCUAACUAGAACGAAUCUGACGGUGAGGAACGAAAGCUAGGGGCGCGAACCGG
rnacentral:rRNA from 1 species